rnacentral:rRNA from 1 species
GAUGAACGCUGGCGGCGUGCCUAAUACAUGCAAGUCGAGCGAACAGAUGAGGAGCUUGCUCCUCUGACGUUAGCGGCGGACGGGUGAGUAACACGUGGAUAACCUACCUAUAAGACUGGGAUAACUUCGGGAAACCGGAGCUAAUACCGGAUAAUAUAUUGAACCGCAUGGUUCAAUAGUGAAAGACGGUUUUGCUGUCACUUAUAGAUGGAUCCGCGCCGCAUUAGCUAGUUGGUAAGGUAACGGCUUACCAAGGCGACGAUGCGUAGCCGACCUGAGAGGGGGCUCGGCCACACUGGAGGUGAGACACGGUCCAGACUCCUACGGGAGGCAGCGGUAGGUAAUCUUCCGCAAUGGCGAAAGCCUGACGGAGCAACGCCGCGUGAGUGAUGAAGGUCUUCGGAUCGUAAAACUCUGUUAUUAGGGAAGAACAAAUGUGUAAGUAACUAUGCACGUCUUGACGGUACCUAAUCAGAAAGCCACGGCUAACUACGUG